AUACGUAGGUGGCAAGCGUUGUCCGGAAUUAUUGGGCGUAAAGCGCAUGUAGGCGGUAAUUUAAGUCUGUCGUGAAACUGCGGGGCUCAGCCCCGUAUGGCGAUGGAAACUGGGUUACUUGAGUGCAGGAGAGGAAAGGGGAACUCCCAGUGUAGCGGUGAAAUGCGUAGAUAUUGGGAAGAACACCGGUGGCGAAGGCGCCUUUCUGGACUGUGGCUGACGCUGAGAUGCGAAAGCCAGGGUAGCGAACGGGAUUAGAUACCCCGGUAGUCCUGGCCGUAAACGAUGGGUACUAGGUGUGGGAGGUAUCGACCCCUUCCGUGCCGGAGUUAACGCAAUAAGUACCCCGCCUGGGGAGUACGGCCGCAAGGCUUAAACUUAAAGGAAUUGACGGGG
rnacentral:rRNA from 1 species